rnacentral:rRNA from 1 species
GAUGAACGCUGGCGGCGUGCCUAAUACAUGCAAGUCGAGCGAACGGACGAGAAGCUUGCUUCUCUGAUGUUAGCGGCGGACGGGUGAGUAACACGUGGAUAACCUACCUAUAAGACUGGGAUAACUUCGGGAAACCGGAGCUAAUACCGGAUAAUAUUUUGAACCGCAUGGUUCAAAAGUGAAAGACGGUCUUGCUGUCACUUAUAGAUGGAUCUGCGCUGCAUUAGCUAGUUGGUAAGGUAACGGCUUACCAAGGCAACGAUGCAUAGCCGACCUGAGAGGGUGAUCGGCCACACUGGAACUGAGACACGGUCCAGACUCCUACGGGAGGCAGCAGUAGGGAAUCUUCCGCAAUGGGCGAAAGCCUGACGGAGCAACGCCGCGUGAGUGAUGAAGGUCUUCGGAUCGUAAAACUCUGUUAUUAGGGAAGAACAUAUGUGUAAGUAACUGUGCACAUCUUGACGGUACCUAAUCAGAAAGCCACGGCUAACUACGU